AAGAGACAGCAGCAGCCACGGUAAUACGGAGGGUGCAAGCGUUAAUCGGAAUUACUGGGCGUAAAGCGCACGCAGGCGGUCUGACAAGUCAGAUGUGAAAUCCCCGGGCUUAACCUGGGAACUGCAUUUGAAACUGUCAGGCUGGAGUCUUGUAGAGGGGGGUGGAAUUCCAGGUGUAGCGGUGAAAUGCGUAGAGAUCUGGAGGAAUACCGGUGGCGAAGGCGGCCCCCUGGACAAAGACUGACGCUCAGGUGCGAAAGCGUGGGGAGCAAACAGGAUUAGAUACCCGCGUAGUCCCUGUCUCUUAUAC
rnacentral:rRNA from 1 species